GAUGAACGCUGGCGGCGUGCUUAACACAUGCAAGUCGAACGAAGCACUCAGAUCUCUUCGGAGUGAUGAGUGACUGAGUGGCGGACGGGUGAGUAACGCGUGGGUAACCUGCCUUGUACAGGGGGACAACAGUUGGAAACGACUGCUAAUACCGCAUAAGCGCACAGCUUCGCAUGAAGCAGUGUGAAAGGCUGAGGCGGUACAAGAUGGACCCGCGUUGGAUUAGCUAGUUGGUGGGGUAACGGCCUACCAAGGCGACGAUCCAUAGCCGACCUGAGAGGGUGACCGGCCACAUUGGGACUGAGACACGGCCCAAACUCCUACGGGAGGCAGCAGUGGGGAAUAUUGCACAAUGGGCGAAAGCCUGAUGCAGCGACGCCGCGUGAGCGAUGAAGUAUUUCGGUAUGUAAAGCUCUAUCAGCAGGGUAGAAAAUGACGGUACCUGACUAAGAAGCUCCGGCUAAAUACGUGCCAGCCGCCGCAGUAAGAC
rnacentral:rRNA from 1 species